rnacentral:rRNA from 1 species
AGAGUUUGAUCCUGGCUCAGGAUGAACGCUAGCGACAGGCUAACACAUGCAAGUCGAGGGGCAGUGGGGAAGUAGCAAUACUUCCGCCGGCGACCGGCGCACGGGUGAGUAACACGUAUGGAACCUGCCCGUAGCAGGGGGAUAAGCGGAAGAAAUUCCGUCUAAUACCGCGUAAUAACUCCGAGAGGCAUCUCAUGGAGUUUAAAGGGUAACACCGGCUACGGAUGGCCAUGCGGCGCAUUAGCUAGUUGGCGGGGUAACGGCCCACCAAGGCGACGAUGCAUAGGGGUUCUGAGAGGAAGGUCCCCCACACUGGUACUGAGACACGGACCAGACUCCUACGGGAGGCAGCAGUGAGGAAUAUUGGUCAAUGGGCGCGAGCCUGAACCAGCCAAGUCGCGUGAGGGAAGACGGUCCUAUGGAUUGUAAACCUCUUUUGUCGGGGAGCAAAAGACGUCACGUGUGGCGUUCCGAGAGUACCCGAAGAAAAAGCAUCGGCUAACUCCGUGCCAGCAGCCGCGGUAAUACGGAGGAUGCGAGCGUUAUCCGGAUUUAUUGGGUUUAAAGGGUGCGCAGGCGGAAGAUCAAGUCAGCGGUAAAAUUGAGAGGCUCAACCUCUUCGAGCCGUUGAAACUGGUUUUCUUGAGUGAGCGAGAAGUAUGCGGAAUGCGUGGUGUAGCGGUGAAAUGCAUAGAUAUCACGCAGAACUCCGAUUGCGAAGGCAGCAUACCGGCGCUCAACUGACGCUCAUGCACGAAAGUGUGGGUAUCGAACAGGAUUAGAUACCCUGGUAGUCCACACAGUAAACGAUGAAUACUAAUUGUUCGGGGAGAAUGAUCCCUGAGUGAUACAGCGAAAGCGUUAAGUAUUCCACCUGGGGAGUACGCCGGCAACGGUGAAACUCAAAGGAAUUGACGGGGGCCCGCACAAGCGGAGGAACAUGUGGUUUAAUUCGAUGAUACGCGAGGAACCUUACCCGGGCUCGAACUGCAGGUGAACGAUUCAGAGAUGAUGAGGUCCUUCGGGACACCUGUGGAGGUGCUGCAUGGUUGUCGUCAGCUCGUGCCGUGAGGUGUCGGCUUAAGUGCCAUAACGAGCGCAACCCCUGUUCUCAGUUGCCAUCGGGUCAUGCCGGGCACUCUGUGAAGACUGCCUCCGUAAGGAGUGAGGAGGGUGGGGAUGACGUCAAAUCAGCACGGCCCUUACGUCCGGGGCUACACACGUGUUACAAUGGGUGAUACAGAGAGUCGGCGGCCGGCAACGUCCGUCUAAUCUAUAAAGUCAUCCUCAGUUCGGACUGGGGUCUGCAACCCGACCCCACGAAGCUGGAUUCGCUAGUAAUCGCGCAUCAGCCAUGGCGCGGUGAAUACGUUCCCGGGCCUUGCACUCACCGCCCGUCAAG